GACGAACGCUGGCGGCGUGCUUAACACAUGCAAGUCGAACGGAAAGGCCCUGCUUUUGCGGGGUGCUCGAGUGGCGCACGGGUGAGUAACCCGUGAGUAACCUUCCCUUGACUUUGGGAUAACUUCAGGCAACUGGGGCUAAUACCGGAUAGGAGCUCCUGCUGCAUGGUGGGCGUUGGAACGUUUCGGCGGUUGGGGAUGGACUCGCGGCUUAUCAGCUUGUUGGUGGGGUAGUGGCUUACGAAGGCUUUGACGGGUAGCCGGCCUGAGAGGGUGACCGGCCACAUUGGGACUGAGAUACGGCCCAGACUCCUACGGGAGGCAGCAGUGGGGAAUAUUGCACAAUGGGCGGAAGCCUGAUGCAGCAACGCCGCGUGCGGGAUGACGGCCUUCGGGUUGUAAACCGCUUUCGCCUGUGACGAAGCGUGAGUGACGGUAAUGGGUAAAGAAGCACCGGCUAACUACGUG
rnacentral:rRNA from 1 species